ACAUACCACAAAGAACUUUGUCCCUGUGGGGGAAAAACAAUGAACGAAAUAGAAUUAGAACUUGCAGCAUAACAUUAUUCAAAAUAAUUUGAAUCAUUUUUCCAAUUUGAGUAAUAAAUCCAUUAGUUUUUUUUUCUCUUUUGAAAUUAAAGUCAGAACAUUUGAUGACAAUUUGAGUUUUCCUACCUAUAAAGACAUGUUUCAUUUGUUUCCCCAAAUAAAUAGAGGCCACCAUAUUAAAGCCCUAGAAGGAGCCCUGAACUUUUUGUUGUGACCAAAAUUCAACAUUAUGCAAAGGUGGGGAAAUCGUCCAUAGAAACUCAAAGCUUGAAAAACAUGAAUUUAACAUUUCAGAAGAAAUAAAUUGCCAUAAUAAUACUUCACACAACCAACUUAUAUAACAAUGUCAAUUUAGCAGUUAAAGCCAGGAGGCCCACAUGGUAGGCAACAUUCAUUCACCACAUAAAAGAAACCACACAAGACAUGAAAAACAGAAAAAUGUGAAUGUAUUCAUGGAUGCACAGUAAUCUACCCUUUCCAUUUGUUGAAUUUCAACUAAUAUCAACUAAUAGCUUCUACUGUAAAAUCAUACUUGCACUCUCAAACCACUAUAUAAUCAUUUAGUGAUAUAA
rnacentral:misc_RNA from 1 species